rnacentral:rRNA from 1 species
AGAGUUUGAUCAUGGCUCAGGAUGAACGCUAGCGGCAGGCCUAAUACAUGCAAGUCGGACGGGAUUGAGGAGCUUGCUCUUCAUGAGAGUGGCGCACGGGUGCGUAACACGUAUGUAACCUACCUUGUUCAGGGGGAUAGCCCCUCGAAAGAGAGAUUAACACCGCAUAAAAUCAAUUUAUGGCAUCAUAGAAUGAUCAAAUAUUUAUAGGAACAAGAUGGGCAUGCGGAACAUUAGCUAGUUGGUAAGGUAACGGCUUACCAAGGCUACGAUGUUUAGGGGAUCUGAGAGGAUGACCCCCCACACUGGUACUGAGACACGGACCAGACUCCUACGGGAGGCAGCAGUAAGGAAUAUUGGUCAAUGGACGCAAGUCUGAACCAGCCAUGCCGCGUGCAGGAAGACGGCCCUACGGGUUGUAAACUGCUUUUGUACCGGAAUAAACCUUUUCACGUGUGAGAAGCUGAAUGUACGGUAAGAAUAAUGAUCGGCU